AUCGUAGUUAAAUCUAGCAAGUUUAACACAUAGCCGCCUUGGUUGAAUAAGAUGUAGCUGGAGUACAGGAAGACCGACCCAUAAGCUUAUUCGUAAAUCCCACAG
rnacentral:sRNA from 12 species